rnacentral:snoRNA from 1 species
UCCAAUGAUGGCAUGAAUAUCUUUGAGACCUGAUUGUCAAUUUGAUGACAACUACAAGCAUUUUUUCUGAGGAA